rnacentral:lncRNA from 1 species
CGGCUCCGCGAGAAGCGAUGGCAGCGAGGGCUGGAGGACCCGGGCUACGGGACUCCGGGGCGUCUGGCCUGGGUGGGACUGAGCCCAUCCAGGGACUGGGACUCCGGGGUUGUGGUGUAGGUGGAUCCGGGGCAGGCUCAGGACCAAGACCCUCUGCUUCCACCAAGGAGCGCCCAGAGGCCGGCGGCAGCUCCAGGUUCACCUCCUCCUUCUCCAGGAAAUCCCACUUCCAGCUGGAUGUCUGGAUGAACUACUGAAAGCUGCUGAGUGUCUUGCAGCAGCUUGACUACCACACAAAUUAAUCCACUCAAAUGUUGGCAAGUGGAGCAGAGUCCCAGGACAGGAGGCGCUUGGAAACCACCGUGAAUUGGACCGCACUGGGAAACACAGAUGAAGAAAGUCAACACCGCUUUGUCCUUCAGUGCCUGGCUCCUUUUUCAGCUCGUCUUGCAACUCCAGGCAUUGGAGUCCAGGGAGGGGCACGCCGCCUUUACCCUGUGCUUCCCACGAUCUUGUCUCCUUAAUCCUCACUGCAGCUCUCUGCCAUAGGGUCUUAUACUGCUUUACAUGUGGGAAACUGAAGCUCAGAGGGUUUCACAGCAGGGCAGGGAGGCCAGAUGUGAAUCUGUACAUACCAAGCUUUCUAAUUUUUCAGUAGUUUCCAAGCAUCUUUUUUUUUUCUUGUUUCGUCAUUGGUGUCUUUUUUUUUUUUUUUUUUUUUUUUUGAGACAAAGUCUCUGUCACCCAGGCUGGGGUGCAGUGGUGUGAUCUCAGCUCACUGCAACCUCCGUGUCUCACAUUCAAGCAAUUCUCAUGCCUCAGCCUCCCAAGUAGCUGGGACUACAAGUGCCCACCACACCCAGCUUAUUUUUGUAUUUUUAGUAGAAACAGGGUUUCACCAUGUUGGCCAGGCUGGUCUUGAACUCCUGACCUCAGGUGAUCCACACGCCUUGGCCUCCCAAUAAGCUGGAAUUAUUGAUAUGAGCCACUGUGCCCGGCCAUGUCAUUGGUGCCUUAACCAAGCCUCUUUUAAUUUUUCAAACUUAAGUGCCCCUGUCCCACAGUUACUGCUGCUGAGCCCUUUCAAGGUGAGUCAGUGAGGAGGGGGAAAAGCGGAAGCGGUGUGGGAAGAGGCGGGGUCUGGGCCAGCUGCUGGUCCUGCUCUCCUCCCUCAUCUGGCCUCUAGGCUCCUAGGAGUGGUUUGGAACCUGCGCCAUGUGCUCUGGAGGCUGUGUCAGGGCAGGCGCGGCUUGGAACCCGCACCAUGUGCUCUGGGGGCUGUGGCAGGUCAGGGGCAGCUUGGAACCUGCGCCAUGUGCUCUGGGGGCUGUGCCAGGGCAGGGGGAGUCCUAGUGUCCCCUGCGCACAACACAGACAGAAUGCUGGGUCCACCCAGUGGGCGGUCGGGUGCCAGGCCAGUGCUUACCCCGCCGUGUUUGCAGCUCGAGGCCAGCUGGCUGCAGGUGCAGGGCUAUGCAUCAGGGGUCAGGGUGCACACAUCCCUGCAGGUCUCGGGGCUCCUGGGUUGCUUCUGGAAGGGCCCAGAUGGUGCCUGACUGGAGCUGCUGAGGGGUGGAGCUUCUGGGAAAAGGAUCCCUCCUAGGGGGAGUGUCUUGGGCCUGGGGCCAUGUGGCAGGGACAGAGACGGGUUCAUGGCAGUGUCUGCUCCUCUCUGUGAAGGCAAAGGGCCUCUGAGGGAGUAUUACAGCCGCCUCAUCCACCAGAAGCAUUUCCAGCACAUCCAGGUCUGCACCCCCUGGCUGGAGGGCCGAGGACUACCCCCGCUUCUAGGGUUGGUGGACCUGGGUGUCUGUCUGGACACAUCCUCCAGUGGCCUGGACCUGCCCAUGAAGGUGGUGGACAUGUUCAGGUGCUGUUUGCCUGCGUGUGCCGUGAACUUCAAGUGGUAGGAGCAGAAACCGAAUCUUUCUGGGGAUAGCUUCACAGAUCCACCGCUGAGGGGGAAGCAGUGCAGAGUGAGCUGCCCACAGUGAGGCCCUGCCCCUCGGUCAGUCCAGCACACACUGGAGGCCAUGAGGAGGAGCCCUGCGGUUAUGUGGCUGGGCUGAGCCUCACUGUAGUAGUUGCUUCCAUUUAGAGCUCAUGUUAUAUUUAGGUUGGUACAAAAGUAAUCAUGGUUUUUGCCAUUAAAAAUGGCAAUUACUUUUGCACCAACCCAAUAUGAAAAAAAAAAAAAGCACCUUAAAUACAAGAACUCCACUCAGGGCUUUUGCUCCUAGAGUAGAAUUGGCGGGAAUUGCCUGCAGGCUUACAUGGUUUUCUUUCUUUCUUUCUCUCCCACCAUGUCCCUUUUGGCCAAGCUCACAUGGUGGGUUUGAAUCAGUUAAAUGAGUGUCAUGCUGUGGCCUCACUCCACCCAGCAUAGACGGGUGUUUGGAAGGGUGGCGUUAGAGGAGAUUCUAGAAGCAGUAGCCUCAGCACAAGUUGAGCCCUUGGCCCCUGCUCAGGAGCCGGCCCCUGGAUGGGAUUCAGGGAUGCGAGCCCCUCGUGUGAGCUGAGCUCAGGGAAUGUCGGGAUCAAAUCUGGUGUCCUAGAAAAGUCAUCUUUUAUGUGCUGAACCAGUCCCCAGGGGGUUGCCAUUACUUGUUCCAUGGCCAUGGAAUUAAGAAAAACAUGCAAAAAUAAUCUUCAGUACUUGAAGAGCAUUCAGCACAGAAGGUACAAACCUUCCUUAAGGCUCCCUCCUCAAAUCAGUUUGGUCAUUUUGAUGUGCACCCCCCCAGGCCUUUAUACCCUUCAGAUGCCAAAUCUAAGAACCAGCUCCCAGAAACCACACCCCCUGUUCCAACCCCCAGCCUGGCUUGAGCGUGGGGUGGGUGGGAGCCCAGCAGGGCACCCCAGGGGUCUGGUGUCUUCUCCAGGCUGCUCUCAGCCUCUCUUGGUUCUCUCUGCAGUUUACAUGAGCUGCUGAAACAUGAAGAAAACAGCCUGGUCUUUGAGGACUCAGAGGAACUGGCAGCUCAGCUGCAGGUAGCCAUGUCUGCCACCACACCAGGGUGGGCAGGGUUCUGGAGACUGACAUCGAGCCACGCUCCCUGAUCCCUGCUUCACACAGCCAGGGUGGGACCAUGGGGGUCCUGGUGGAAAAGCUAGGGAGGGAGCAGAAGUCACAGAGGCUUCCUACUCUGCUGUCCCAUUUUGGUACAGUAGGCUCGGGAAAAUUAGGACACAACCCCACCUGCUCUCUGGAUUUCUGGAGCUGACACUCCACAAAUGAUGCUGGAGCCGGGUGGGCUGGGCUGCAGUUUAGGAAGUGAUCAGGAUCAGGUAGGUGCGUGGGCAGAGGGAACUUCUGGGAUCAGCCUUGAAAGAUGGGUGAAAUUCUGCAAAGGUUACUUGUUUCUUAUUGCAAAAAGUAAUACACCAUUCUUGUCAACAGAAUGAUUGGGAGGAUUUUCAGUAAAGGUCCAGAUCAGAAGUCAUUUAGACUGGGUCCCCCAGUCUCUGUCAGAACCAUGGUACUCUGUUGUGGUGUGAAAGUAGCCACAGAUCAUCUGUAGAUUAAGGGGUGUGGCUUUGUUCCAAUAAAGCUUUAUUUACAAACACAGGCUGUGGGCUGGAUUUGGCCUGCAGGCUGUAGUUUGUGAUCCUUGAUUCAGACAGUUUAGCAAGGCUGCAAAGAACACCCACACCCCCUUGUUACCCACAGAUGGGUGGGACUGUGUUGGCCAGAGGCCGAGAGGAGGGUGCUCACAGGGGAACGUACAGCAUGUAGAGGCCGGAAGGUGCUCCAGGGCACCAAGUGUGGGAAAGUGGGACAUACGGGGAAGUUUCCAGAAAGCAUGAUGUCAAGUUGGAGGCGGAGCGCUGCUGGGGUGUGAAGGGUCUCAAGUCCAAGUGAGGGAAUUAGGGACUUGGGAGGGGUUGUUGUUGGGUCGGGGAGCUGGGGUCAUCCAGGUGGUGACCUGGGAUGGGGUGGGGACAGGCAAUGAGGUAAGCUCUGCUCUUUAGCAUUUUGCAGAUGCUUUUCUCAAACUUUCCUGAUCCUGCAGGCAAGCUAAACCAGUUCCGGAAGAACCUGCAGGAGUCGCAGCAGCUCUGAUGGGAUGAGAGCUGGGUGCAGACUCUGCUCCCUUUGGUUAUGGACACAUAACUCCUGGGCCAGAGGCUAAAACCCCAGAGCCCCUGCUGUCCUUCCCGCAGCUUCUUCUUGGAGUCUCAGGGCAAAUCCUUUCGAGCAGCGCCUCCCAGUGGCCAGAAGCUGAAAUGACGGCAGUGGUGCCACCUGGUGAAUGACCCGGGAAGCUGUGAUUGGCCCUGAUUUCUUCUUUGGAGUCUCCGAAAGGCUUCCUGUCUUCUUCUGUUCACGCCCCAUGCCCCUGCUAGCAUAUUACUGUUCUAUGACUUCCCUGUGACCUCUGCAGUACUCCUCAUCCUGCAUUUGGUCUCCAGGUGUCACCUUUCUGCCGUGUUCCUAACACUUUGAUUCCUGUCUUGAAAAAAGCACCUGCUGCACCAUAAGCCCUGGGAUGUGGCAGCUGCAGCGGGCUUGGCUUUGUGAGGAACGGAGUGUGUCCAGGGAUGUGGCAGCUGCAGCGGGCUUGGCUUUGUGAGGAACCAAGUGUGUCCACGUUGGGGGAAUGUCAUACGUGAUACACACGUUUUUAUUUGCACAAAGAAAAUGCUAUUUUUGGAGCCAGAAUUUUCAUGUCUGAUUUAUGGUGAUUUUCUUAAGAACCGGAACUACUGGCAGAAAGGCGGCACCCACACGCUUAGAUAGCUGAUGUCUUAUUAGAGGGCAGUUUGUGGUUCCUGAUUUGGAAUUUAACAUUUUCCAAACAUUCCAGUCCAAUGAAAGUUUUAGCCGCUUUCCCAUAUAAAAAUUCUUCCCACGAGAGUGACUUGAUUCUCACAAUCCCGUUAGAGUCGUGUGUGAGUCCUACAGUGUGAGGUUCAGCAUUGCCAUCUCCAAGUGCUCUCCGUAGGGUAACAGUUUCUGGUCAUGAUGAGCUUCCGCUUCCCAUCUGAUCCCGGCCCGGCCUGGAAACAAAGCAUGUGUUUAAGGAUGGCGGUGUAUGGGGACAGGACAUGAGUGUUUUGUGUGGGGCUGCUAGGACAGGCCUGGUGGGGUGGGGGGUGUCUAAGUCAGUUUACUUGUUUCACAGGUUCCCAGGCCCACCCACGUACCUAGAAUUGGCCUCCAGGAUGGGACCAGACAUCUGGUUUUGCAUAGAAAUGGCUAGCAGCAGGAACCAUGCCGCUGUCCACUCUCUGCCUGCGUCUGCCCCAGCACUUGGCACAGCAGGACAGAAGCAGAGAUCUGAACCCAUAUCUACCUGGCUGCUCAGUCAACUCGCUCUUCACAAAGCUUAGAAAGUGGCCGGGCACAGCCACACUCUGUCUCAAAAAAAAAAAAAAAAAAAAAAAGGUUGGUGGGGGCUUAUACUAUGUGUGCUGCUUGGCACUGUUUUUUUCACUUAAAAGAUAUUGCAGGUGUUUUUUCAUGUAAGUAUCUGAAGAAAGACUUCCUUUUUUUUGUUUGCUUUUUUGAGACAGGGUCUUGCUCUGUUGCCCACGCUGGAGUGCAGUGGUGAGAUCAGGGCUCACUGCAGCCUCCACCUUGUGGGCUCAAGCCAUCCUCCCACCUCAGCCUCCCAAGUAGCUGGGACUACAGGCGUGUGCAACCACAUCUGGCUAGUUUCUGUAUGUUUUGUGAAGACGGGGUCCCACUAUGUGGCCCAGGUUGGUCUUGAACACCUGGGGUCAAGUAGUCCUCCUGCCUUAGCCUCCUAAAGUGCUGGGAUGACAGGCCUGAGCCCCGCGCCCGGCCAGCCUCCUGUGCGAGGUUGUGCGUGUGCGGGACUCUGUCGUGGAACCCAGUAUGCCUUCGUAUGCUGGCUUGUUUGUUGACUCUGUAGUUAACGGGCUGCCCCACGUGGGCAGGCACUGGGUCGUCUGUGUCUCUGUGUGCAGGCAGAGGCUGCUGCGGGUGCAUCUGUGCACAUGGCUGCCAGGAGGGGCUGUGCUCAGGGGGAGCUGGGGCAGAGGCUGGUGGCAAUGGGGGGCUUGGGUGUAGUGUGGAGGCACGAGAGCCAGGUGGCUGGGCUGCAGUCUGCGGGAGCUCGGGGGUCGCUUGGCCUCUGUGUGUCCCAGUGUCUUUGUCGGUGUGAUGGGACAAUGACAGCCCACCCUCACAGGUGCUGGGGACUGACAAAUGUCAGGUCUGAGGACAGUGGCUGGCCCACUACGGGGCCAGUUUCCCUUCUCUAUAGUCACCCUGCUCGUCUUCCAUCAACUGGGUGCUCAGGACAGUGGCAUGGUGGAUCCGCC